CAACUCUACAAAAGGAGGCGGGAAACUGGUGUUUUUCUCCCUCCCGCCCCGGUUGUUACUGGAAUCUGUGGAACCAGCAAACCCGAGCACCGAGGCUGCGUCGGAACUGGGGGGGUCUCCCUAUAAGCAGUUGCACUAUAAGGCAGUCCCGCAGUGGGGGGGUGUACGUACAGGCUGUGGGGGUGUGCGGGGGGGUGUACAGGUGUGUGUACAGGUGUGUGUACAGGUGUGUACACGCAGCUGUACUUUAGCUACCUGUAUGCAGAGAGCAGUGUUGUCUCGGGCCUGCGGUGAGGUGACACCCUGCAGAGUCACAGCUUUUCUCUCCCUUCCCCUGUGGGGCUGCGGGGGUGGGACAGGGACAGGACGUGUGCUGAGCUGCUGCACUUUUUAAUUAACAAACAUUCCUAAUUCCCCUGGUUCUGCUGCAUCCUCCCCUCUCCCGAGUCAGCACAAACCAGUCGCCCUCCUGUCCCUGCACUGGGGUUUCUGUUGGGAAAACUGGGCCAAGAGUUGGAUUUUUGGAGUCCUCUGGGCCCAGGGUGGCCGGGCCGGGUGUCACCUGGAGUCUUGGGGACGGAGGGGUCAGUCACAGGGUUUUAUCGGGUGCCUGGAGGUGUCCCCAAACAGCCCAUCUCUAGCACCUUCUCCUGUGGCCCCAGCACAGCCCGGAGGCAAAGGCAAAGUUAAAUCAGCAGCGUGGGCAGGGGUGUGUGGAAAACCAGCAGCUGUAGGUCAGCGCGGUGACAUCUGUGCGGUGACAGCCGGGCCCGUCCCAGCAGAGGUGUCUGUCACACUGGGGACAGCCCUCGCGCCACACUCUGCAUUUUGGCAAAGGCUGUUUUCCCAAGUUUUUCCCCCCCUUUGCUGUGAGGUUCCAGCCGAGGCUCUGGCAGCCUCAGGGGCUGGGCGCGCUGAGCCAGGCUGGCUCCCUCCCCUCCCCAGGGUAGCCCUUGGGCAACCAGAGCCCGCCCCGUGGCUCGUGUCUUACUGCGGAGUCUGUCCCUCUCCCUCUCUCUUCUUUUUGCCGUGUAAAACUACCUGCUUUAUAAAUGAAUGUAAAAUACAGUAGUUCUUCAGCACAUGGACAAACGUGUAUUUUAUCUUAAUGUUUCAUUUUUCUGUUAAAUAAAAGGCAUAUGAUUUUCUGGUCGGUGGUGCGG
rnacentral:lncRNA from 1 species